AGAAUCAACGCUGGCGGCGUGCCUAACACAUGCAAGUCGAGCGCGAAAGGGGAGCAAUCCCCGAGUAGAGCGGCGAACGGGUGAGUAACGCGUGGGUAAUCUACCUCCGAGUGGGGAACAACAGCGGGAAACUGCUGCUAAUACCGCAUGACAUCGUCGAGCCUUCGGGCCUGACGAUCAAAGCCGGGGACCGCAAGGCCUGGCGCUUGGAGAGGAGCCCGCGUCCGAUUAGCUAGUUGGCGGGGUAAUGGCCCACCAAGGCUCCGAUCGGUAGCCGG
rnacentral:rRNA from 1 species